rnacentral:lncRNA from 1 species
AAGUGAGUGAAGAAGAGUUUUAUUGGAAUUGAGAGAGAAGUCAGAAGUAGGUACUAGGUAAGAAGAAAACUGAGCAAAACUUGCUCACGCACGGACGGCACGGUAUGACCGAGUGAUGUGGUUACCGUGCAUGGCUAUAGGCUACAGGCUAUAGCAUGCUCUUGGUAGAGAGCCAGAGAUUCUUUUAGUCCGGUUGGAAGUUGGAACCACCGCAGAUUCUUUAG